rnacentral:rRNA from 1 species
UACAGAGGGUGCAAGCGUUGUUCGGAAUUAUUGGGCGUAAAGCGCGUGUAGGCGGCUUUGCAAGUCGGGUGUGAAAGCCCUCAGCUUAACUGAGGAAGUGCGCCCGAAACUGCUUGGCUUGAGUACCGGAGAGGAUGGCGGAAUUCCCCAAGUAGAGGUGAAAUUCGUAGAUAUGGGGAGGAACACCGGUGGUGAAGGCGGCCAUCUGGACGGAUACUGACGCUGAGACGCGAAAGCGUGGGUAGCAAACAGG